rnacentral:rRNA from 1 species
CUACUAGGGUAUCUAAUCCUGUUUGCUCCCCACGCUUUCGCACCUCAGCGUCAGUACCGGACCAGUUGGCCGCCUUCGCCACUGGUGUUCUAGCUAAUAUCUACGAAUUUCACCUCUACACUAGCUGUUCCACCAACCUCUUCCGGACUCGAGAUUGCCAGUAUCGAAGGCAGUUCUGAGGUUGAGCCUCAGGAUUUCACCCCCGACUUAACAAUCCGCCUACGUGCGCUUUACGCCCAGUGAUUCCGAACAACGCUAGCCCCCUUCGUAUUACCGCGGCUGCUGGCAC